CACGGAGGAGGCUGAACGCUGCGUGUGCGUGACAAGGCGGCGCUUUCGCACGGGUGGCCCACACGCCAAGGUCUCCCUUUGAUAUAGAGACCUUUUAUCAAGCCUCGUCCAAGUCGUCCCUGGGCUUCCUCGCGCACGUGAACCAGUGACAAAGGGGAAGCAGCCGGGAGGAGAAGCGGAGAUUGCUGCAACAAUAACAGGAAAACCGACGCUCAAGCAAUCCAGACGGAGGGUCCUUUCACGACCUUCUCUGAUUGCCUACCAGGAUUUGCUUCUCUCAUGGUCCAUUAUUUGUGCAAGACGGGCUUGCCAUCUGUUCCACUCGAGGCAGCCCACAGGCGCGCUGUGCACGGAGAGUUCAAGAUGCACGUGCAGUAAUUGGGCGUCCUACCUACCUCGGGGUUUACAGAACAGGACAAAAUUCGAUUGUCGCGUGGAGGAAUGCGCAAUGUGUGUAGUGCGAUGUGGGGUGGAAUUGCGGCAAGGUGGUUAGAGCUAUGCUUAUUGAUUUUUAUUCAGAUUGUGUAUGCAUGUCGUGGACAGUGGUCUGUGAUCCAUGGAUGAAGAGCUCUAUAGAAGUAGGAGUUAUUGAAAUCUGUGAUCCGAGUUCGAUACCUGGUAAUGGCUAACAGCAGUGGCGAAUAAUAAUUGAACUGGUCUUGGGCAAACCCCCUUAACAUCCUGCAAUGGCAAGCGUGGUGAAGUAUGGUCAAACAACCCUCACAGCAAACACGUCAGGAGGCCUUCAUCCAGCAGUCGACUAACAAAAUAGUUGCAAAUAAUACAACAACAAAAAACGUGAAUUUACAACCCAAUCUCAUUGCGCUGUUCCACAAAGGCCUCCCCUAUCUGUGCCCGGGGAGUGGUGGUGCAGUGAUUAACGCACUGUGCUAUAGAUCCGGUGGCCCGAGUUCGAAACGUGGGAAAGUCGGAUUCUGUUGAGCCCAGAAGAGGAAACAUUUCCCAAACGUCCCGAUGUUAAUGGACACUGAAUGUAAACUCAAGUACACAGUGGUGGGAAUAGUGUCUCGUGUAACAAAUCUGGAAUCAUUCAUGUGUUUUGUUUUGCUGGUGUGUUUAGUUUUAUACCAGGCAUCUGUCUGAUGGUUCAGACAGAAAGCUAAAAAAAACUACGAUGGGUUGUCAUGCGAUUUAUAAAUAUUUAAUUUAAAAGUAAAGAAAACGCUUUGAAACUGGAACAUCUCCUUCUGUAUUUGCUUCCUAACCACACCAAAUGUAGGACGUAAUAGAGAAUAACAUAUG